GUAGGUGGCAAGCGUUGUCCGGAAUUAUUGGGGCGUAAAGCGCGCGCAGGCGGUUCUUUAAGUCUGAUGUGAAAGCCCACGGGCUCAACCGUGGAGGGUCAUUGGAAACUGGAGAACUUGAGUACAGAAGAGGAAAGCGGAAUUCCACGUGUAGCGGUGAAAUGCGUAGAGAUGUGGAGGAACACCAGUGGCGAAGGCGGCUUUCUGGUCUGUAACUGACGCUGAGGCGCGAAAGCGUGGGGAGCAAACAGGAUUAGAUAACCUGGUAGUCCACGCCGUAAACGAUGAGUGCUAAGUGUUAGGGGGUUUCCGCCCCUUAGUGCUGCAGCUAACGCAUUAAGCACUCCGCCUGGGGAGUACGGCCGCAAAGGCUG
rnacentral:rRNA from 1 species